rnacentral:rRNA from 1 species
GAUGAACGCUAGCGGCAGGCCUAACACAUGCAAGUCGAGGGAGAAGCCCUUUCGGGGGCCGAAACCGGCGCACGGGUGCGUAACGCGUAUGCAACCUACCUUUCACAGGGGGAUAGCCCGAAGAAAUUUGGAUUAAUACCCCAUAAUAUUAUUGGAUGGCAUCAUUUGAUAAUUAAAACUGCGGUGGUGAAAGAUGGGCAUGCGUCCUAUUAGCUAGUUGGAGUGGUAACGGCACUCCAAGGCUACGAUAGGUAGGGGUCCUGAGAGGGAGAUCCCCCACGCUGGUACUGAGACAGGGACCAGACUCCUACGGGAGGCAGCAGUGAGGAAUAUUGGUCAAUGGUCGGAAGACUGAACCAGCCAUGCCGCGUGCAGGAAGAAUGCCUUAUGGGUUGUAAACUGCUUUUAUAUGGGAAGAAUAAGGCGUACGUGUACGUUGAUGACGGUACCAUAUGAAUAAGCAUCGGCUAACUCCGUG